rnacentral:lncRNA from 1 species
AGAAUCAGAUUCGAAUUUAAUUUGAAUCAGGAGCUAGGAUUUGCAACACGUGCUAGCAUGUUCAUCUUGCAAACAUGAUCUAAUCCAAUUAGACUCUUGAUCAAUUCCCUUGUGUGUGACCCAUUGGGUUCCUUAUCUUAGCCAGCAGUAGGUGCAGGUGCAAGUUGACCUAACCUGAUUAGAAUACCUCUAAUCCAAUUUAGGUUCAAUUUAGUGCUAAACCUGACUUAGCAAUCAGAACCUUUCUGAUGCUUUGAUCUAAUCAAACUCUUUGAUCCGAUCAACCCACAAGACAUGAUUGACGUCUAGCAACGUAUUAUGUCUACCCGAAAGAUGAGGAAUGUAUUGGACAAAUCCAAAGAUACCCUUCAGUGGAAAGUUACUGUGCAAUUCAAUCCCUCAGUCAUACUACAUCCUGAAUAAGUGCUCGAGUAUGGAUCAAUAUCAAACUCAAUCACUUAUUCAUGUCUCUCUCAAUCUUUUAUAUGAUAAUUCAAACAAUGAAAUAUUAG